rnacentral:rRNA from 1 species
GAUGAACGCUGGCGGCGUGCCUAAUACAUGCAAGUCGAGCGAACAGACGAGGAGCUUGCUCCUCUGACGUUAGCGGCGGACGGGUGAGUAACACGUGGAUACCCUACCUAUAAGACUGGGAUAACUUCGGGAAACCGGAGCUAAUACCGGAUAAUAUAUUGAACCGCAUGGUUCAAUAGUGAAAGCCGGUUUUGCUGUCACUUAUAGAUGGAUCCGCGCCGCAUUAGCUAGUUGGUAAGGUAACGGCUUACCAAGGCAACGAUGCGUAGCCGACCUGAGAGGGUGAUCGGCCACACUGGAACUGAGACACGGUCCAGACUCCUACGGGAGGCAGCAGUAGGGAAUCUUCCGCAAUGGGCGAAAGCCUGACGGAGCAACGCCGCGUGAGUGAUGAAGGUCUUCGGAUCGUAAAACUCUGUUAUUAGGGAAGAACAAAUGUGUAAGUAACUAUGCACGUCUUGACGGUACCUAAUCAGAAAGCCACGGCUAACUACGUG